GGUGAACGCUGGUAACGUGGAUACCGGCAUGCAAGUCAAGGGGGCCCGCAAGGGCAACCGGCGAACGGCUUAGUAACACGUAGAUACAUACCUUAAAGUGGAACAUAGCUCGUUGAAAAACGGGGUAAUUUUCCAUAGUCCCUUACGGGUAAAGACGCAAGUCGCUUUAAGAAUGGUUUGCGGUCUAUCAGCUAGUUGGUGAGGUAAAGGCUCACCAAGGCUAUGACGGAUAGGGGGCGUGAGAGCGCGACCCCCAAGAAUGGCACUGCGAUACGGGCCAUACUCCUACGGGAGGCUGCAGUCGAGAAUCUUCCGCAAUGGACGAAAGUCUGACGGAGCGACGUUACGUGAAUGAAGAAGCCCUUCGGGGUGUAAAGUU
rnacentral:rRNA from 1 species